GAGAAACAUCUAAGUCUGGUACCUUACAGGUUCACAUUAUUGUGGAUUCCAAGCCGCCUCAAUUGUCAGUAGACCAUUACAGCUUGCGUGUGGUUUAUUUGGUUUGGAAUUACUUCAACUUUCCAAAGACACAGUGAAUUUGUAAAAACAGAUCAUUAAUGAUAACCCAGAGCACUUAUGUUUGAAAUAUUGGGUGGAUGCAGCAGUUAGGAUAUUUUUUUUUCCUGAUGGUUGUCUAUUCUUUAAAGGCAGGGCUGUCUAGAGGCCACCGGAUUGAAUGCUUCUGAAGAUUAGCCUCUCAUUGUUUGAAUGUUUUCAUAGUAUUGUUGUAAUAAAGCAUCUUCAUACUUCACAGCUGAGAUCUUGACUUUGCGAAUUAAAAAAAAAGUCAGAGGCUAAUCAUAACAAUUAGCUAAUGUGUCAACAAUUAGCACUUUCCAUCAACCUGCUCUAAAAGGAGACUCUUCUUAUCCACUUGCAGACAAAAAUGCAAUGAUGUAGUUAAGAAAAGCACUGAAAUUGGCUCUUAGAGUCCCCUGCUGUAGCCAACUAAAUCCCCAGGGCAUUGUUUACAGUGAUUAUUCUGCCAUUAUGAUGUUAUUGCUUAGGCGGAGGGGGGGUUGUAGAAUGCUCAAAAUAAGUUGAUUCUUUUUUUCUAAAAGACAAAACAAAGCAUUAAAAGAAAACAAUCCCUUUUUGGCUGCUUUUGGAAAAGUAGAACAAAAACUGCUGUGAAAGGUCAGCCAGUUACAGUACUUUAGUGUUUAACUGGUAAAUACU
rnacentral:lncRNA from 1 species